CCCUCAGAUGUUCUGGGCUGCACACGUGCUACACUGGCAGGUUCAGCGAGCUUCAUGCCCUGAUCUGAAAGGAAUGGGAAAUCUUUUCAAAACCUGCCGUGCUUGGGAUAGAUGUUUGCAAUUAUUCAUCUUCAACGAGGAUUGCCUUGUAAGCGCACGUCAUCAGCGUGCAUUGAAUACGACCCUGUAUUCUGUACACACCGCCCGUCGCUCCUACCGAUUGAAGUUUUCGGUGAGUUGACAGGAGGAUUUUUUUGAAACUGGUUCGCCAGUGGAUUUUAGAUCCAAAUGCCAACGAAUCGAUGGCUUUAGAGGAAGGAGAAGUCGUAACA
rnacentral:rRNA from 1 species